GGAUUAGAUACCCUGGUAGUCCACGCCGUAAACGAUGGAUACUAGCUGUAUGUCUACUUCAGGUAGAUGUGUGGCUAAGCGAAAGUGAUAAGUAUCCCACCUGGGGAGUACGAUCGCAAGAUUGAAACUCAAAGGAAUUGACGGGGGCCCGCACAAGCGGUGGAGCAUGUGGUUUAAUUCGAUGAUACGCGAGGAACCUUACCAGGGCUUAAAUGUAACGGGACAGAUCUAGAGAUAGAUCCUUCUUCGGACUCAUUACAAGGUGCUGCAUGGUUGUCGUCAGCUCGUGCCG
rnacentral:rRNA from 1 species